rnacentral:rRNA from 1 species
UACGUAGGUGGCAAGCGUUGUCCGGAUUUACUGGGUGUAAAGGGCGUGUAGCCGGGUUGACAAGUCAGAUGUGAAAUCCUGCGGCUUAACCGCAGAACUGCAUUUGAAACUGUUGAUCUUGAGUACUGGAGAGGCAGACGGAAUUCCUAGUGUAGCGGUGAAAUGCGUAGAUAUUAGGAGGAACACCAGUGGCGAAGGCGGUCUGCUGGACAGCAACUGACGGCGAGGCGCGAAAGCGUGGGGAGCAAACAGG